rfam:Mus musculus chromosome 8, GRC primary reference assembly.
GGAGAGAUGGCUCAGCGGUUAAGAGCACUGGCUGCUCUUCCAGAGAUCCUGGGUUCAAUUCCUAGCACCUGCA